GAGCGGGCACGGGAAACGGGUAUUGUUGCUCUCUCUCUGUCAGCCCCGCGCUGCUCGGCCUACUACAGCAACCCCUUCAUCGCCGCCGCACAGCUUGCGAGUUGGCCCCGGCGGCAGACCACCUGUCAAUUACAUUCUUGGAAGCUACAAGGAUCAACAUCCUCUGUAUCCAAGUUAUUCCUGGAAGAUUUAACCUGGGUCUUUGGCCUGUUAAUACAGGCUGAAUUGUGAACAGCAGCAUGGAGGAUUAUGUAAAGAUUGAGAAAAUUGGUGAAGGUGAGCAAUUUAAG